UCUGAUAGCAGCCUUCCCCAACCUGAGGACCAAAGUCCUUCAAGGAAGUGCACAGAGAAAGGACAAGGGGUAACAGGCACAAAUUACAACAAGGCAAACCUUAUCUGGGUGUAAGGGAAAAAAUCACUGUGAGAGUAGUGCAGCUGUGGGACCUGGCCCAGGGAGGUUAUAGCAAUUCCAGCCUUGGAGAUUUUCAGAACUCAGCUGGAUGAGGCCCUGAGCAACCUGAGGUAGCUCUGAAGUUAGCCCUGCUUAAAGCAGAAAGUUAGACUUGAUGACCUCCAGACUAGCCUUUCAAUAUAAUUUUUCCUAAAAUUCUUUAGUAUUACCAAGAAGACAGCAUUUUAGCCCCUGGUACUUCAGAGUAAAUUGCAGCUAUUUCUCAUGACGAGUAUGAGCUGUACCAAGCUACUCAACUCAUAAAAUUCUCUCAUGUAUUAGCAAAUUCCCUUCUAAAAGUACAGAAUCAUCUGAUACUGAGAGUUGUUAUAAAAGAGAACUGAUGCUUGUAGGUGCAGAAAAGUAACUGGCAAUAUUUUUCCUAAUUUUUGAUGCUUUUAAAGAAUCACCUCUUACCGUUACUUUUCUGAAAUAAAAGAAUUUAAAUAGAUAAGCAUUCAUCAGAUUAAUCAUAUAAACAUACUGAAAGUAUGUUAGGAUAAGUUAUGUAAGGUUAGUAUUAAGUGGUGCAUGUUAUAGGUUUGUCUUUUCUUACCUGGUAAGAAAACCUAGUAGCUGUUUAUUAUAAACAUCACUUAUGAUAUUACAUCAACUUUGGAAGCGUUGUCCGCAACAUAUUCUUUAUAGUGUUUGGUUUGUUUGAUUAAGGUAGUGAUAUUUUAGGUGGAGACAGGGGUCUAAGAGGAAUGAAGAGUAUCCAGUCUUUGCAUUCUUUCUGAUUUGCACUGUUAUCCGUUUUUCUGGGAUGAUUCUGUACUCUCUGCUUGCAACCCACUUACCUGAAUUGUACAGGUACAGUACAUGCUUGCUGAAAAAGGAAAUACUAUUUCCUUUUAGCUCUUAUUUCUUCACCCGGCGUAUUGCUAGAAGUUGGUACAGUCUUUUAUCUUCAAUUCCUUCUGAAGUUCCUGUUCCUUCCACAUUUUGCUUCGCUUUUCUGCCUUGUUUCUUUUUCAUUUUACCACUUUUUUCAUACUAAUUUUCUGUGGAAAUGCUGAGGCCAGCAAGGACAGUCUACACAUUUUUGAUACAAUGAGAAACCUGAUGGAGAGCAUGUGCACUCACAAGAAGCUAUUCCCACCAGAGAAGCUUGUCAAUCAUCAUAGCCAAUCACAUGAAACAAAUGUUCCAUUUACUGUGUGAAUUACAAAACUAAAGGGAAGAGAGAAAGGCCAGCAGCGCAAAUGGAAGACUUCUGUCUUCAGUUUCUUCUUCUUCACUACCGGACAACAUCUCUAGAACAAGAUACUCUGGGAUUCAUAGAAAGGAGCCAGUAAAGAUCAGAAUAAUGUGUCCUUCCAUACAAAAGAAAAAAUACCCGCUCUGUAAAAAAGGCAGAACGUUACAGUCAAGGCUGAAAUGCUCUUUUUCGCUUCGUUUUUGUUACAAAAAAUGGAAAAGCAGUAUCACUACUUCUUCAGGGUCCUCAUAUGGAAGAAGUUUGAAAGCCUGUAGCAAAGACAACCUUUAUUGAACAGAGCAUGUUGUGGAGGCGGACAGAGGAUUACAGACAAAUUGCACGUUCUUCUGUUUGACAAUUUUGAUUGGCCAGGUCUGAGGAUGCAAGUGCCAAGACAUAGCUUAGAGUCGCCCUAAAGCUUCUUUAAGUUGUGCUUGGAAAACAGUUGUCUUCACAUAGCUUUUGGACUUGAAGAGGUCAUUUUAGUGUAUUAUAGAAGCAUGUUUAGUUCACACUAUCUCUUUUGUAAUUUUGCUAGGCAUAGCACUGUCACAACCAAUGAUCUGACUUCUUUAUUAUCAUUUUUGCUUUAAUAAAUUUUCAAAAUUUAAA